ACUUCCCCUUUUUCAGUUAAGUAAAUUCAGAAAAUCUAUGUUUAUUUGACAAAAAUUUGAGAAUAUGCCACAAUUAUUUUAAAUGAUCCAAUUUUAACUAGUUCUUGUUAGAAAAUACAAGGUUUACCCCCAGAGUCUAUAACAAAUCGUGUAACAAAAACUGUCAUUGGUCAGAAAUGUGUACAUUUAAUUUUCAUAAAUACAAAUUAAG
rnacentral:lncRNA from 1 species